GACGAACGCUGGCGGCGUGCCUAACACAUGCAAGUCGAGCGGGGACAAGGACUUCGGUUCUUGUUCUAGCGGCGGACGGGUGAGUAACGCGUGAGCAAUCUGUCCCUCACAGGGGGAUAACACUUGGAAACAGGUGCUAAUACCGCAUGAGACCACGGAGUCGCAUGACUUUGGGGUCAAAGGAGCAAUCCGGUGAGGGGUGAGCUCGCGUCCCAUUAGAUAGUUGGCGGGGUAACGGCCCACCAAGUCAGCGAUGGGUAGCCGACCUGAGAGGGUGAUCGGCCACACUGGGACUGAGACACGGCCCAGACUCCUACGGGAGGCAGCAGUGGGGAAUAUUGGGCAAUGGGCGAAAGCCCGACCCAGCAACGCCGCGUGAGGGAGGAAGGUUUUCGGAUUGUAAACCUCUGUC
rnacentral:rRNA from 1 species